GGUAGCGCAGCUAACGCGUGAAGUUGACCGCCUGGGGAGUACGGUCGCAAGAUUAAAACUCAAAGGAAUUGACGGGGACCCGCACAAGCGGUGGAUGAUGUGGAUUAAUUCGAUGCAACGCGAAAAAACCUUACCUACCCUUGACAUGUCUGGAAUGCCGAAGAGAUUUGGCAGUGCUCGCAAGAGAACCGGAACACAGGUGCUGCAUGGCUGUCGUCAGCUCGUGUCGUGAGAUGUUGGGUUAAGUCCCGCAACGAGCGCAACCCUUGUCAUUAGUUGCUACGAAAGGGCACUCUAAU
rnacentral:rRNA from 1 species